GAGCAGGUGGCUGAUUAAAGGCGAUAAAUUGUAAAUUUAUACAUGGGAAGUUCUCUCCCUGUUUA
rnacentral:tRNA from 1 species